rnacentral:rRNA from 1 species
UACGAAGGGGGCUAGCGUUGUUCGGAAUCACUGGGCGUAAAGGGCGCGUAGGCGGCUUUGUAAGUCGGGGGUGAAAGCCUGUGGCUCAACCACAGAAUUGCCUUCGAUACUGGAUGGCUUGAGACCGGAAGAGGUAAGUGGAACUGCGAGUGUAGAGGUGAAAUUCGUAGAUAUUCGCAAGAACACCAGUGGCGAAGGCGGCUUACUGGUCCGGUUCUGACGCUGAGGCGCGAAAGCGUGGGGAGCAAACAGG